rnacentral:sRNA from 1 species
GCCAGGCAUGUUGGCACAUGCCUGUAAUCCCAGUGGCCCAGGAGGCUGAGGCAGGAGAAUCCCAAGUUCAAAGCCAGCCUCAGCAAAAAGCAAGGUGCUAAGCAACUCAGUGAGACCUUGUCUCUA